UAAGUACCGUUUCCGAAGAUACCAGAAGCGUCCUACUCAGAGACACGUUUCGUGUUCGACACAUGCAGCCCCAUACCCAUGUUUUGCAUUGACGAUAUUUUCCCGAUAUGGUGCACUCUAGGCAUAAUGACUAUGUGGACGUCUAACUGACGUGAAUGACUCUAAGUACCGUUUACGAAGAUACCAGAAGCGUCCUACUCAGAGACACGUUUCGUGUUCGACACAUGCAGCCCCAUACCCAUGCCAAGAUUGAUUCCCCUGUCAACGUUUGUCUGCUCGUUAAUUUGCAGUGACAACAAUAAACACUGCCAUUCCCUUUACCAACAUACUGCAAAAUGCGCAAACGACUGAUAGAAGCUGCCCUAGUCUUCCGUAUUUUGGAACAGGACACGGACUGGCACAUGUGAAAGUUACAUGUUGACAAUCGUUCAUGAUUUUCAAAAUGAUGGCUUUAUAUUAAAUGUUCUGCAUACUGAAAUGGCGCACUAAGAUUGAUCGUGUUUCAGUUUCCUUAAAAUCAGGCAUCAAUUAUUAUGUACAGACACAGAUGUGUCUGUACAUAUAGCCGCCACCUGCGUCUGUCGUCGCUGUCGCCGUGCACUUUC
rnacentral:lncRNA from 1 species